AUUGAACGCUGGCGGCAGGCCUAACACAUGCAAGUCGAACGGUAACAGGAAACAGCUUGCUGUUUCGCUGACGAGUGGCGGACGGGUGAGUAAUGUCUGGGAAACUGCCUGAUGGAGGGGGAUAACUACUGGAAACGGUAGCUAAUACCGCAUAACGUCGCAAGACCAAAGAGGGGGACCUUCGGGCCUCUUGCCAUCGGAUGUGCCCAGAUGGGAUUAGCUAGUAGGUGGGGUAACGGCUCACCUAGGCGACGAUCCCUAGCCGGUCUGAGAGGAUGACCAGCCACACUGGAACUGAGACACGGUCCAGACUCCUACGGGAGGCAGCAGUGGGGAAUAUUGCACAAUGGGCGCAAGCCUGAUGCAGCCAUGCCGCGUGUAUGAAGAAGGCCUUCGGGUUGUAAAGUACUUUCAGCGGGGAGGAAGGGAGUAAAGUUAAUACCUUUGCUCAUUGACGUUACCCGCAGAAGAAGCACCGGCUAACUCCGUGCCAGCAGCCGCGGUAAUAUGGAGGGUGCAAGCGUUAAUCGGAAUUACUGGGCGUAAAGCGCACGCAGGCGGUUUGUUAGGUCAGAUGUGAAAUCCCCGGGCUCAACCUGGGAACUGCAUCUGAUACUGGCAAGCUUGAGUCUCGUAGAGGGGGGUAGAAUUCCAGGUGUAGCGGUGAAAUGCGUAGAGAUCUGGAGGAAUACCGGUGGCGAAGGCGGCCCCCUGGACGAAGACUGACGCUCAGGUGCGAAAGCGUGGGGAGCAAACAGGAUUAGAUACCCUGGUAGUCCACGCCGUAAACGAUGUCGACUUGGAGGUUGUGCCCUUGAGGCGUGGCUUCCGGAGCUAACGCGUUAAGUCGACCGCCUGGGGAGUACGGCCGCAAGGUUAAAACUCAAAUGAAUUGACGGGGGCCCGCACAAGCGGUGGAGCAUGUGGUUUAAUUCGAUGCAACGCGAAGAACCUUACCUGGUCUUGACAUCCACGGAAGUUUUCAGAGAUGAGAAUGUGCCUUCGGGAACCGUGAGACAGGUGCUGCAUGGCUGUCGUCAGCUCGUGUUGUGAAAUGUUGGGUUAAGUCCCGCAACGAGCGCAACCCUUAUCCUUUGUUGCCAGCGGUCCGGCCGGGAACUCAAAGGAGACUGCCAGUGAUAAACUGGAGGAAGGUGGGGAUGACGUCAAGUCAUCAUGGCCCUUACGACCAGGGCUACACACGUGCUACAAUGGCGCAUACAAAGAGAAGCGACCUCGCGAGAGCAAGCGGACCUCAUAAAGUGCGUCGUAGUCCGGAUUGGAGUCUGCAACUCGACUCCAUGAAGUCGGAAUCGCUAGUAAUCGUGGAUCAGAAUGCCACGGUGAAUACGUUCCCGGGCCUUGUACACACCGCCCGUCACACCAUGGGAGUGGGUUGCAAAAGAAGUAGGUAGCUUAACCUUCGGGAGGGCGCUUACCACUUUGUGAUUCAUGACUGGGGUG
rnacentral:rRNA from 1 species